rnacentral:rRNA from 1 species
AUGGCGAUCCGACACUACUGGUCGAUGGCUGCCGCUGCUGUCGGGUUCCGCCUCAUUCUGGUGCUCUUUGGCGGAGACUUCCACCUUGCCUCCCGCCCAGAGGUCUCCACCCCCCUCACGUCCCUUUGCCGCCUUGCAGAAGGAUACUGGCUGAAGCAGGCGUCCAUGUCACCCUAUUCCGGUUCGAUGUAUCAUGGUUCCCCUUUGCUUCUAUCGGUUCUUGGUCCGCUAACCAGUAAAAGGUCAGGUGGACACCAUUCUCAUAUAUAUUGCAGCUUGGUUUUUGUGGCUGUAGAUUUUAUAGCUGCUAUGCUCAUACGAUCAACUGGGCGUACACUCCAAAUGGCACGUAACAGAAGCUUGAAGUCUCUUGACCUCACCAAAUCAGUGAACAAUUCUGUGAACAUAAGUGCAGGAGAUAUUGCUUCUCUAAUAUAUCUGUGGAACCCUUGGACAAUAAUCACCUGUGUGGGUUCAUGUACUUCAGCAAUUGAGAAUUUAAUGGUCGUGAUAAUGUUACAUGGAGCCUGUUCAUGUGUGGAACUCGCUGUGUUUCCCUCCAGCCUUCUUUCUCUUUAUCCUGCAAUUCUCAUUCUACCUGUUGCUCUUUUAUUGGGUUAUGGUCCAGAUACCCCUCCAACUAAAGUAUUUCUUCAAACAAGCUCAAGUGCCAAUAAAAUUGACAUUUCAAAUAAUGGAAAAGGUACUAACCAAAAAGGAUUUGGACAAUUCUCACGCAAACCAAUACUCCGCUUCAUAUUGUGGGUGUUUAUCUGGUCAUGUUAUGUGCUGUUAUUGAACAGCAUUAUCUUCUAUAAAGUGGGUGGUCUUCAGGAGAUGUUUGAGAAGACAUAUGGUUUUAUCCUUACAGUGAGGGAUUUAUGA